UCCGGUUUGUCACCGGCAGUCUCCCUAGAGUUCCCAUCCGAAAUGCUGGCAACUAGGGACAAGGGUUGCGCUCGUUGCGGGACUUAACCCAACAUCUCACGACACGAGCUGACGACGGCCAUGCAGCACCUGUCUUACAGUUCCCGAAGGCACCAAUCCAUCUCUGGAAAGUUCUGUAGAUGUCAAGGCCAGGUAAGGUUCUUCGCGCUGCGUCGAAUUAAACCACAUGCUCCACCGCUUGUGCGGGCCCCCGUCAAUUCCUUUGAGUUUCAAUUUUGCGAUCGUACUUCCCAGGUGGAUUACUUAAUGCUUUCGCUCAGACACCAACAGUGUAUCGCUGAUGUCGAGUAAUCAUCGUUUAGGGCGUGGACUAC
rnacentral:misc_RNA from 1 species